AUGAAAAUGAUUUGCUGGAACUAUUGAGGUUUGGGUCAACCUCGGACAGUCCAAGAGCUGGUGUGCCUCACAAAGACACAUCGACCCAAUGUUAUCUUUCUUUCUGAAACAAGGCAAAAUAAAGAGUAUGUUGGGAGUUUGCGUUAUCGCCUUGGUAUGAAAAAUGUAUUUACUGUUUCUAUUCCAGGAAAAGGAGGUGGCUUAGUGGUUUUUUGGGACGACCUUUAUACCUUGGAGUUGAACAAAUAUGGAGAUCAUUUUAUUGACAUGUACAUCAACAAUGGUGCUGAAACUAAAUGGAGAAGCACUUUUGUGUAUGGGGAACCAAAGGCGAACCAAAGGUAUGUUAUGUGGGAGCAACUAAUGCGAAUUAAACCGCUUGGGGCUGGACCAUGGUUUAUGGCUGGAGAUUUUAAUGAGGCUAUGUGGCAGAAUGAGCAUUUUUCUUGGGUAAAGCGGUCUCCUAAACUGUUGGCUAAUUUUCGUGAAAUUCUGUCUGAGUGCAAUUUAUUUGAUUUGGGCUUUCAUGGAGUUCCUUGGACUUAUAAUAAUAAGCAGCAUGGCAAUAAAAACGUGAAGGUGCGGCUUGAUCGAGCGGUGGUGUGCCCACAAUGGUCGUCUAUGUUUCCGGACUGCAAGGUCUCACAUAUUCUUAGCUCCAGGUCAGAUCAUUGUCCUAUUCUUAUUGAAAUGUGA
rnacentral:rRNA from 1 species